CUGAGCACCGACAUGUUAUCUAUAAUUUAUUUUCUCUUAUGAGGAUUAAAAUAUUUGUCAGUAGGCUGUCGACUUGAUUCAUGACUGCUAGCUAAGACUUUGACAUGAUCAAAGCUACUGUAGAUAUUUUUUCGUGGCCAAUGACAUUGAGCCUUGGAUGGGCACCUUUAACCCCAAGGGGCUUGAAUUUGAGUUCCUUAGAUUUGGCAGUGAUGUAGUGUCCCCAUGAGUGAACAUUACCAACCCCUACUGUUUUCCUCUGGCUGCCCCUCAAUAGAAAGCAUUGAGCUAGGCUGAAAUGCCUUCAUUUUGGCACUGCCUUCCUGCUUGUAUGGAGGCUUUAUUAAGUCAUUAAUAUUUUUUUUACCUUGUUUGUGACACUGCCCCACCUGCCCUGAAUGACGGGUCGCCACUGAACAGCAACAAGGCACCCACCCCAUGGUUUGUUAUGUGGCCGAUAAACCAUGGCGAACAACUGUAUCCAGGUACUGUUACAUCAUACGUAAGAGUAGCCCUGGUACAGUAUAUUGGCCAUAUACCAUAACCCAUUGUGCCUUAUGGGCGAAUGAUGUUCUCUUGCAACAUAUUCAAUCUUGUCAGUUUGCAUGAAGUGGUUGUAACUGAAUUUUUGCUUCUAACGUCAUUACAUAAUCCUUAAUUGGCGCGAUAACGUUAAGUAGAAAGUGUUUAUUGUAUAAAUGUAGUAACUGCUACUUUUUUAGACAUUUUUGAGCAGGUUAAGUGAUAAUUGUAGUUAAUGGGACCAGGCCAAAUUUAGCCACGCCCCCAUUCGGUGUACCGAAAACCCGGCAGGAACGGAUUCAUUUAUUGUUCCUACGGUCCUGACGUUCUGUUAGGCUUAGACUGUUUUGGCGAGGACCACAGUGAGUGUUGGCUAGUUAGCUAAAGGCAUUUGGUAUGAAAAUGUGCCUGUGGUCCCAAUAAAUUUAAGCUUGUGUUGCUAGCUAACGUUGGUCUUGGUUUUUCUUUUUACCCCCGACUUGGAUAAUUAUUUACAAGUUAGCUAACGUUACUUCUCUUAAUAGUUAUUGCUUUCUUACCAUAAUGUUAGCUUGCUAGCCAGUUGAUUGCUAGCUAGUGUCUGUAUGCCAAUAAUUAGCUAAUUUAUCCAGCCAUUUUGAAGUUAACAAACUAGCUUGGUGAAUUAGACCAGAUAACAGACAGCUUAGCUAGCUAACCACCUUGUCACCUGUUUUUGAUUUGAUAGAUUCACAGGCUAGUUUGAUAGAUUUUUGGAUUGUUUGAUCAUCAGAUGGCAAUUUGGAAUCAAUAAGCUUUACGCUGUUUAGGAGAAGCUUUAUUUAGCGAUCAAAUUGUUCUCAAACAUGGCCCCCAAAAGAAGACCAGUGCCCCUAAACAUCACUCCCACUGGUGGUGAGGGAGGAUUCGUCCACCUCUACGACCAUCUCUGCUGCCUCAGAGGCUAACCUGGAGGCCCUACCGAAGAAGCUGGAAGAGUUGGAUAUAGCUGAGCAGCAGAAGAAGCGCUUGUAGGCUUUCCUUACCCAGAAAGUCAAAGCGGGCGAGCUGAAAGACGAUGACUUCCACCGCAUCUGGGUGCUGGCAACGGAGGCGUGGUCCACAAGGUGUGCCACAACCCCUCGGGCCUGGUCAUGGCCAGAAAAUUGCUACAUGAGUGUAACUCGCCCUACAUAGUUAGUUUCUACGGGGCCUUCUACAGCGACGGAGAAAUCAGCAUCUGCAUGGAACACAUGGAUGGGGGCUCCCUGGACCGGGUGCUGAAGGAGGCCAAGAGGAUCCCCGAGGAGAUCCUAGGGAAAGUCAGCAUUGCUGUUCUCAGAGGGUUAGCAUAACUACGAGAAACACCAGAUCAUGCACAGAGAUGUGAAGCCUUCUAAUAUCCUGGUGAACUCUCGUGGGGAGAUCAAGCUGUGUGAGUGGACAGCUCAUAGACUCCAUGGCCAACUCCUUCGUGGGAACACGCAUGUCUCUGUGUCCGGAGCGAUUGCAGGGCACCCACUACUCUGUUCAGUCUGACGUGUGGAGUAUGGGCCUGUCUCUCGUGGAGCUGUCUAUCGGCCGAUACCCCCUCCUGACGCCAAGGAGUUGGAGACUAUCUUCGGACGGCCCAACAUGGAUGGGUCCGAGGGAGACAUGCACAGCAGCACCUCACCCGGAACCCCCGGGGGCAGACCUGCCAGCAGCGAUGGGCCUGUGAUGGCCAUCUUUGAGCUGCUGAACUACAUUGUCAACGAGUCUCAUGAAGAACCCAAAAGACCGGGCUGACCUGAAGAUGCUGAUGAACUACAUGUUUAUCAAGCGUUCUGAGGUAGAGGAGGUGGACUUUGCUUGCUGGCUCUGUAAAACCAUGGGGCUGAACCAACCCAGCACUGCAGACUAGACGCGCAUGCAGUGGCCUGUGGACGCAAGCAGCCUCCAACCACAUGUAUACAAACGCACUUUCCUUGUCAGCCACCUUUCCUCUCAGGUGAUCCUGGUAUGAACUGGCCCUAGUCAGUCACUCUCCUGUCAGAAACAAGCCCACAGUUUCAACCGUAAUCAACAUUGCUUCAAUGGUGUGGUUAGGGCAACCCCUCACUGUCAGAUUCCCCUAUCAGACCGUCAAAGCGGUCUGGCUGUCUGCAGUAUCAACAGUGUGGCAUCAGGGAGCUUCAUUACCCUGGACGAGCAGACCUAAGGUGUAAAAUGGGCCUGGUCAGAUGUAGAGGCUUUAGAUAAACCCAUGCGGUGAACUCUUAACUCACAAUCUACACAGUUGGCAUCAAGUUUUGACAUUUAUCUACAGUGCCUUCAGAAAAUAUCCACAUCCCUGAAUUUAAAAUGGAGUAAAUUGAGAUUUUGUCACUUGUCACACAAUACCCCAUAAUGUCAGUGGAAUUGUUUCUCAAUGUAUUAAAAAUGAAAAGCUGAAAUGUCUUGACUCAAGUGUUACACCCUUGCCAAUGGUGUGUUUUAAUUUUUUAAUGACGAUCAAAGAACUGAGAUUAACAUAACUGAGAGAAAAGCCUCUACAGAAUUAAAUAUUCCAAACAUGCAUCCUAUUAUCAGUGAGGCACUAAAGUAAUAUUGCCGAAGUGGCAAAGAAUGUACUUUUUGUUGAGUACAAAGUGUUAUGUUUGGGGGAAACCACAUCAGAGUGCCACUUCACAUUUUCAAGCAUGGUGGUGGCUGCUUGUCGGCAAGGCCUUGUUUAAAAAAAAAUGUAUAUAUUUAGGCUAAAAAGAAACAGAAUAUAGCUAAGCACGUACAAAUCCUAAAGGAAACCCUGGUCUGCUUUCAAAAAGACAUUGGGAGACAAAUUCACCUUUCAGCAGGACAGUAACCUAAAACACGGCAAAAUCUACACUGGAGCUGCAUACCAAGAUGACUUUGAAUGUUCCUGGGUGUCCUAGUUUUGACUUGACUCAUCUUAACUCUAUGGCAAGACUUAAAUGGCUGUCUCGUGGUGAUUAACCCACUUAUUUAAUUAAUGGGAAAGUAUUGUACAAUCCAGGUGGCAAAGCUCUUAGACUUACCCAGAAAGACUCACAGCUGUAAAUGCUGCCAAAGGUGACUAACAUGUAUUGACUCGGGGUUGAAUACUCAACACAAAAUGCAUUUCUUCCACUUUGACAUCAGUGUUGUGUGUAGCUCAAUGACAAAUCUAUUUUAAUCCCACUGUGGAAAAAGUCGAGGGGUGUUGGUUCUUUCUGAAGGCACUAUUUUUGCAUUGCUGUAACACCAGAACCAUUUGAACAGAGGUUACGCAGAAAUAUACGCCUCGUUUUAGAAAUAAAGAAAUCGGGGUACUUGACAUCACAAACUAAGCAAGACCUAUUUCAGCUUCCUGAGUAUGUAAACACAACUGCACUUAAUCUAUUUUCCCAAGAUCAUUUUAUUUUGCUUUUCAAUUACAUGUAUCACUCUGUACGAGCAAUAACCCAAACAUGGGGCACCGCUGCAGUGUAUAUUGGUCUUUUUUGCCAGGCCAUAGGUAUUGUUACAAUCAUGAUUAGGAGUUACUCAUAUGUAUUGACAUACAUGUACAUGUAUGUCUUCACAUCUCUGCAUGCAUAUUCAGCAGAGGCUGGUGGGGGGAGCUAUAGGAGUAUCGGCUCAUUGUAAUGUCUGGAAUGGAAUAAAUGGAACGGUAAUAAACAUAUGGAAACCACAUGUUUGACUCCGUUCUAUUUAAUUCCAGCCAAUACAAUGAGCCCGUCCUACUAAAGUUCCUCCAACCAGCCUCCUCUGAUAUUCAGAUAUGUUAAGCUUAUAUGCAUACUGUACAUCAGUUUUUAUUUUUCUCUUUCGGCAGUUUGAGUGAGUGUUUGUGUCAAUGAGAUGUGGGAUGGCAUCCUGUCCAAUUAUUUCACAUUAGUGAAAUUAUACUAGAAGAGGAUGCCAUUAGACUAUUGAGAUGCAGCCCUAGUGUCUGUGUCCUGGCCAGGCUCCCUCCAUCCCUUUGGCUGUAGGAGAGAUGCAUGCCUGACCAGUGUUGGGAGAUGAACACACCUUAACCAGAGUAAUUUAUAUCUCCUAAUAGUGUUUCCCAUGUCCUGUCCUCAAGUACCCCCAACAGUAUACAUGUUGUACACAUGUUUGUUGUAGCCCCGGACAAACUCACCUGAUUCAACUCAUUGAGGGUUGUGGGUACUCGAUGACUGGAGUUGGGAAACACUGUCGUAAUAUACACUUGAGUGUACAAAACAUUAAGAACACCUUCCGAAUAUUAAGUUGCACCCCCUUUUAAAUCGAAUCAAAUCAAAUUUAUUUAUAUAGCCCUUCGUACAUCAGCUGAUAUCUCAAAGUGCUGUACAGAAACCCAGCCUAAAACCCCAAACAGCAAGCAAUGCAGGUGUAGAAGCACGGUGGCUAAAAACUCCCUAGAAAGGCCAAAACCUAGGAAGAAACCUAGAGAGGAACCAGGCUAUGUGGGGUGGCCAGUCCUCUUCUGGCUGUGCGGGGUGGAGAUUAUAACAGAACAUGGCCAAGAUGUUCCAAUGUUCAUAAAUGACCAGCAUGGUCGAAUAAUAAUAAGGCAGAACAGUUGAAACUGGAGCAGCAGCACAGUCAGGUGGACUGGGGACAGCAAGGAGUCAUCAUGUCAGGUAGUCCUGGGGCAUGGUCCUAGGGCUCAGGUCAGUUGAAACUGGAGCAGCAAUGUGUUGGGGUACAGCUUAGUCGAAGUAAUUUGUACAUGUAGGUAGGGGUAAAGUGACUAUGCAUAGAUAGUAAACAGUGAGUGGCAGCAGUUGUAAAAACAAAGGUGGGGGGUGUCAAUGCAAAUAAUCCGGGUGGCCAUUUGAUUAAUUGUUCAGCAGUCUUAUGGCUUGGGAGUUGAAGCUGUUAAGGAGACUUUUGGACCUAGACUUGGUGCUCCGGUACCGUUUGCCAUGUGGUAGCAGAGAGCACAGUCUAUGACUUGGAUGACUGGAGUCUUUGACAAUUUUUUGGGCCUUCCUCUGACAUCGAUUAGUAUAUAUAGGUCCUGGAGGCAGGUGAUGUACUGGGCUGUAUGCACUACCCUCUAUAGCGCCUUACAGUCAGUUGCCAAGCAGUUGCCAUACCAGGCGGUGUUGCAAGCGGUCAGGAAGCUCUCGAUGGUGCAGCUGUAGAACUUUUUUAGGAUCGCGGGACCUAUGCCAAAUCUCCUGAGGGGGAAAAGGCGUUGUCGUGCUCUCUUCAUUACUUUCUUGGUGAGUUUGGACCAUGAUAGUUUAUUGGUGAUGUGAACACCAAGGUACUUGAAACGUCAUCUACACGGAUUAAAGUGGAUUUAACAAGUGACAUCAGUAAGAGAUCAUAGCUUUUCACCUGGAUUCACCUGGUCAGUCUGUCAUGGAAAGAGCAUGAGUUCUUCAUGUUUUGUACACUUAGUAUACAGAAGGGCAUGGAUCUGCCAUAAAAUAAGUGUGUUUCUGUGUCCUGGGGUGGUCGAGGGCCUUUCACUGAUUUCUUUGCUUCUCUUUGUGUAUUUCUUCUCAACAAUGGUUUAAAACUAUGGAUGUUUUGUACCAUGUCAAAAACAUCAAAAAUGUUUUCAUGCCAUAAUUGUCAAUAAAUUAUA